rnacentral:rRNA from 1 species
AUUGAACGCUAGCGGGAUGCCUAACACAUGCAAGUCGAACGAGUGGCGAACGGGUGAGUAAUGUAUCGGAACGUGCCCAGUAGCGGGGGAUAACUACGCGAAAAGUAGCUAAUACCGCAUACUAUUGGAGCGGCCGAUAUCGGAUUAGCUAGUUGGUGGGGUAGCGGCUCACCAAGGCGACGAUCCGUAGCUGGUUUGAGAGGACGACCAGCCACACGGGGACUGAGAAAAGGCCCAGACUCCGAAGGGAGGCACCAGUGGGGAACUUUGGGCAAUGGGGGAAAACCUGAUCCAGCCAUCCCGCGUGUGCGAUGAAGGCCUUCGGGGUGUAAAGCACUUUUGGCAGGAAAGCGGUACCUGCAGAAUAAGCACCGGCUAACUACGUGCCAGCAGCCGCGGUAAUUC